rnacentral:rRNA from 1 species
GAACGGAGAUAUCAUUUUCGAAGCGAUUAGUUUACUAAGAGCGGAGAUGUUGCUAUCUUAGUGGCGGACGGGUGAGUAACGCGUGGGUAACCUGCCUUGCACUGGGGGAUAACACUUAGAAAUAGGUGCUAAUACCGCAUAACAGUAGGAGACGCAUGUCUUUUACUUGAAAAUUCCGGUGGUGUAAGAUGGACCCGCGUCUGAUUAGCUUGUUGGCGGGGUAACGGCCCACCAAGGCAACGAUCAGUAGCCGGCCUGAGAGGGUGAACGGCCACAUUGGGACUGAGACACGGCCCAAACUCCUACGGGAGGCAGCAGUGGGGAAUAUUGGACAAUGGGGGGAACCCUGAUCCAGCGACGCCGCGUGAGUGAAGAAGUAUUUCGGUAUGUAAAGCUCUAUCAGCAGGGAAGAAAGAAAUGACGGUACCUGACUAAGAAGCCCCGGCUAACUACGUGCCAGCAGCCGCGGUAAUACGUAGGGGGCAAGCGUUAUCCGGAUUUACUGGGUGUAAAGGGAGCGUAGACGGCGAUGCAAGUCUGAAGUGAAAGGCGGGGGCCCAACCCCCGGACUGCUUUGGAAACUGUAUGGCUGGAGUGCAGGAGAGGUAAGUGGAAUUCCUAGUGUAGCGGUGAAAUGCGUAGAUAUUAGGAGGAACACCAGUGGCGAAGGCGGCUUACUGGACUGUAACUGAC